UAGUCGAAAAAUACGAACAACAGUUUAAAACUUAAAGAUUUUGGCGGUAUCUUAUCGAACCAGGGGAACCUGUCUCAUAACUCGAUAAUCCACGAACAACCUACCUUCUCUAGAACAAACAGCUUGUGUACUGCCGUCGUAAGCACACCUCUAAAAGUAAGUAUGCAAAUAUGUCUUAACACAUUUACGUCAGGUCAAAGUGCAGCCCAUGAGAUAGGAGAUGAUGGGUUACACCCUUAAUAAAGAUUACAAAUUAGAUUACUAAAAAUUCUAUGAAGGUGGACUUGGUUGUAACUGUCAUUCAAUAUUACAAUGAAAACGAAUCUAAGAUAUGCACACAUCGCCCGUCACUCUCGCUUAUAAGGCG
rnacentral:rRNA from 1 species